rnacentral:lncRNA from 1 species
UGGGUGAGCGUGGUCGUGACAACACUCCGAUAACAGCAGCCAGCACGUGCCCACCACUGGCCCUGCGCCAGGCGCUGGAGUAGGUGCUUUAUGGACGCUUAUCUCCCACAACCUCUGUAGAUGGGGAAACAGAGCCCAGAGAUGUUGAGGCAGCCGGUGAGGAGGUGACCAGCUAUCUGACACCAGAACCAUCUGCUUAACCACCCCUCUGGGCUGCUGUUAACUGAGAGCGUCCCGCCCUCUCUGACCCAUGUCAGUGUCCACCAGUUUACUGAUGGAGUACUCAGGUCUCCUGACUCCUGAUCCAUCACUCCUGCCCCUAUUAGCUCAUUGCCCUUCUCUGCCUCUCCUCUCCUCGGUACUCAAGCAUCGUUAACAUCUGACAUCAGGUGUUCAGGCAUUCCCAUGGUGGCUAAGGCUCAGACUAAUGAUUGCAACAUGACAUGUUAUGAAUCACGGGUUGGUCCCAGGGUGGGAGACCAAUCCCAGUGGAACACGCCAUGUGCAAAGAAGCCUCUGCUGGUGUCUUGGACAGGGAUCAAAGAGGACUUCUGGGUAAUCUACUCCCUCCAUGGGACACCCAGCUGAGUGGGUGUGGGUUACCUUGGAAACGGAAACUCUACCCUCCAAGAUGGCUUCCAAGGAUCCGUGCAGCCUGGUUUCAUGCUCUUAUAUGGGGAAACUGAGGCCCGUGAAAGAGAGGGCCCAGAAACCUUGCUCUGAGCACCCUGUGUGUGGCCGUGCCGAAGAGGAAGAAGCAGCAGGAGGAGGGGGGAGCCACCACGGGGCCUCUCCUCCUGGAACGCUCACUCUACCUGGAGUACAAGACGUGCAGUGAUGCCUCACAAACCGUAAAAGGUUUUGCUGUGUGGCGAUCGCGAUGGGGCUGGAGGCACUGGCGAGCCCCGUGGAGGAAAAGUCAUUGAUUCUGGCCGUCGAGGUUUGACAGGCGUGAGUCUGAACCGUUUUAAUGUGUCUUUAUGACGGCAGAGGAGGCAGGGCCUGAGCAAGUUGAGAAGAGACUUUAUCUCGAGACCAGGAGCUGCAGGCAGCAGAGUGGCUGUGAUGGAAUCAUCCCAUCGAAAACAAAUCAAUUGGUGAUAUUUUGAAAAUUGUUAAAAAGGUUAAAACUUGUUCUAUCCCCCAAAGGCCACGUAAUACAGGUGGGGCUGGCUCUACAUCAGGUGCUGGUGCUGGGGAGAAAGUCGUGUCUUGCUCACGUGGAGUGAGGGCAAGAAGAGUGUGCUGGUUAAGAGCACGGCUUCCAACUUUGAGACCUUGCGCAAGCUGCCUAAACGCUCCAAGCCUUGAUUUAUGCAUCUAUAAAAUGGGAACAAUGAUAUUGUCUACCUUCCUGGGCUCUGGUGAGGGUCUCAUGGCGUUGUUCCUUAAAGUCCAGAGCAUGGUGUGCAC